UGGCGUGAUCAGGCCCAUAUACUAAAACUGGGACAAUACAGUGAAGAUUUGCAUGACCCCUGCGCAAGUUAUCUUAUUCCUUGGUGGAUUUACAAGACAUUU